CACUGUGACCCCUACGGUGGAUUCUGCAGCCGCUCCAGCUCCGGUUCCUGCAGCCGAUCCAGUUCCAGCUCCUGCAGCCGCUCCAGUCCCAGCUCCUGCAGUCGCUCCAGUUCCAGUUCCUGCAGCCGCUCCAGCACCGGCUCCUGCAGCCGCUCCAGUUCCAGCUUCUGCAGCCGCUCCAGCCCCAGCUCCUGCAGCCACUCCAGUUCCAGCUCCUGCAGUCGCUCCAGUUCCAGCUCCUGCAGCCGCUCCAGUCCCAGCUCCUGCAAGUGCUCCAGUCCCAGCUCCUGCAGCCGCUCCAGUCCCAGCUCCUGCAAGUGCUCCAGUUCCAGCUCCUGCAAGUGCUCCAGUCCCAGCUCCUGCAACUGCUCAAGCUCCAGCUCCUGCAGUCGCUCCAGUCCCAGCUCCUGCCGCUACUCCAGUCCCAGCUCCUGCAACUGCUCCAGCUCCAGCUCCUGCAGCCGCUCCAGCUCCUGUGGCUGUGUCAGAGAAACGAGCUGUAGCAGUGCAAGUUGAUCCUGCAGAGGGUAUUCCAACCCCUGUGGCAGACCCUGUAACAAGGUCAGAGAAACGAGCUGUAGCAGUGCAAGUUGAACCUGCAGAGGGUAUUCCAACCUCUGUGGCAGACUCCGUAACAAGGUCAGAGAAACGAGCAGUAGCAGUGCAAGCUGCCCCUGUAGAGAAGGUGAAAAAAUGGUAUAGAGAUUCAGGUCGUUUAGAACGCAGAGACUCUUCUGCCAAAUCUAGGUAUAGAGACGACGGAGAUGAUGACGACGCUGGGCCAUCAAGGAUUCAGGAGGAGGAAGAUGAAGAUGCCGAAAAAUCAACAGUAACUACCCGAAGCCUAAACGAGCGCGAGCUACGAGAUGUGUGAAAAGAUUUUGGUCGCUGUAUAGGUGAGCAGCUUGUCACCUGGCUGCUCCGGUGCUGGGACUCUGGAGCCAAUUGUGUGGAAUUAGAUGGCAGGGAAGCCAAGCGGCUGGGAUCCCUUGCUCGAGACGCCGGCAUUGACAAAGCAAUUGCAGAUGGAGCACAAUCCACCAGCCUCUGGAGGCGUCUCCUCUCAGCUGUGAGGGAUACCUUUCCCUCAC
rnacentral:lncRNA from 1 species